CUGGAAUAGAAGGAUGAGAAGGUGGCUCUUGGCUGAUUGAAACAACAUUUUUCUAAAAAAUUAAGAAUUAUUCAAAUGGGAAUGACACUGAAUCAUCCAAGUUUGGAAGCUUCAAGUAUUUGGUUCCCUAUGCAGUUGCAUGAAGCACUCACCUUUCUUACUUUGUGACUUCAAAACAGUCAGAAAUCGGAUUAGGAGACAACUCCAUUUGAAUGAGCAGCUUGUGUAUUGUGUCUCUUCAUUUUUGUUGAGAAUACUGAGUCAGUCAGCUAAGAUUUUUUCCAUUCUUGGUAGAUUGAAGGAAAUUUCAAACAGUAUGAAAUGAAAUGUAUUUCAUAAUUAUGUAGUCUUUAUUUUAGACAUAUUGUUGUAAAAAAAGUUGACAUGGAAUAAAAUCCAUUUUUUUAAACACAGCAUCAAUAUCAGUACACAGUUAAUGAUUAGAUCCAAACAAAUUUAACCACAUAACAAGUCCAUUUAUC